rnacentral:rRNA from 1 species
UGUAGCACGUGUGUAGCCCAGGACGUAAGGGCCGUGAUGAUUUGACGUCAUCCCCACCUUCCUCACGGUUUGCACCGGCAGUCUUGUUAGAGUUCCCGACAUGACUCGCUGGCAACUAACAACAGGGGUUGCGCUCGUUAUAGGACUUAACCUGACACCUCACGGCACGAGCUGACGACAACCAUGCAGCACCUUGUAAGUGGUCCGAAGAAAUAGCUAUCUCUAACUAAUGCAACUUACAUUUAAGCCCUGGUAAGGUUCCUCGCGUAUCAUCGAAUUAAACCACAUGCUCCACCGCUUGUGCGGGCCCCCGUCAAUUCCUUUGAGUUUCAUUCUUGCGAACGUACUCCCCAGGUGGGUUACUUAUCACUUUCGCUUAGCCACUCAGACACAAGGUCCAAACAGCUAGUAACCAUCGUUUACGGCGUGGACUACCAGGGUAUCUAAUCCUGUUCGCUACCCACGCUUUCGUCCAUCAGUGKYAGUUGAUUAUUAGUAAUCUGCCUUCGCAAUUGGUAUUCUAUGUAAUAUCUAUGCAUUUCACCGCGUACACUACAUAUUCUAACUACUUCAUAAUAACUCAAGAUAACCAGUAUCAAAGGCAAUUUUACAGUUGAGCUGCAAGAUUUCACCUCUGACUUAAUUAUCCACCUACGGACCCUUUAAACCCAAUGAUUCCGRAUAACGCUUGGAUCCUCCGUAUUACCGCGGCUGCUGGCACGGAGUUAGCCGAUCCUUAUUCUUAUAGUACCGUCAGCUACUUACACGUAAGUAGGUUUCUUCCUAUAUAAAAGCAGUUUACAACCCAUAGGGCAGUCUUCCUGCACGCGGCAU